UUUUUUUUUUUCUUCUUCUCGUUGUGGGGAGGGGUUCAGCUUUCAAGCCGACACAUACAGGUGCUCCCUGGAUUCCCCCCCCCCCUCCCAGCUCGACGAGGACGACAGAGAAAGGGAAAUCACAGCGCUUAGAGCUCAGACAAAAGGCUCUCGGCUUUCCCCAUCGCCCGAGCCCUCGGCAAGUGGGAGCCGCGAGCAGAGAGGCGGCCCGAGGCGGCCGGGCGGGGGCUUUCGUUCAGCAAUCGAUCCGCUCUCGGAACUCGGAAAAAAAAAAGCGACUUUUCCCUUCACUUUGCUAUGAUUUCGGUUUCUUUCCAGCGACGGGGAAAUGCCAUCUUUUCCCUCCCCUCCCUGGAAACGGGAAAAGCGCUGGGAGCGUUCUCCUGGAGGAAGAGAAACGCUUCUGCCGCUCGCAGCAGCGCCGGGGCCCCGCGGUCGGAGCGCGGCCGUCGCUGCCCCGGCCCGGCCCGUGUGCGGGGAGCGCGUCGGAGCGCUGCGGUAGAGGAGCCCCGCGGUGCGGGCUGCUCCGCGUGUCCCGGAGGGCAGUAGGGCUGAGGGAGCAGCCCGCGGGGCUGGUUCGGGGCCCUGAGUCCUUACGUAACCUCGCAUUUUAAAUAAAAUAAACUAUAAUAAUUGAAAGAAGCUUUCUUCGGCGCGGUUCGGUAAUAAAACAAUUGGAAAAACAAAAACAACAACAAUAAAAAAACCCAACCAACAAACAAACAAACAAAAACCCCGUAACUUCUCCCAUCCGAACGCUCCAAGAAGCUGGCAAUUAGCUACAAAAAUCCCUCUGUGAGCUAAUGACCUGAUCAGUGAGGAAUACAUGCACUGUCUUUCCUCCUCCUUAUUUUUUUCUUUCCGUUUUUUUUUUCCCCGUCCUUUUCGUUUCUUUUCUUUGUUUUCUACGAAAACGUCUCUAUUCAUCUGCUCAUAAUGUACCAAAGCUCUGAUCGCGACGCUUCGCCGCGCAGUACGCAAAGAAGGGAACCCCCUCGUUCGGGUACGGCGGGCUCUGUAACUAUCGGCGUUGCCAAUAGAUGGCACAGUGGCCUUUCCCUUGCUCGGAAGCUCCCUCUCCCCGCUUAUUUACCUCGCUUGUUUGUUUGGCUCGCAGCAAGUUUUUUGACGCAUAAACGUCUCUUUGCGUUUCCUUCCCCGGGGCACAGAAAGCCGAGGUAUCUUUACAAAGGUAUAUUGCAAAAAUUAAAAUUACAGAUGUAAUACAUACUGUGAAACCUAUAAAAAUGCGUUUACAAUGGUUACUUAAAAAAGAAAUUUAUAACUUUCAUAUGUACCUUACUCGCGCAAUAUGCAACUGCCAUAUGUUUCCUAGUGCCAUAAUUCAGUUUUUCCUGGACAGCUGGAGCAGGUAGGACUUCUGAAACUACAUUUCGUGUAAUAUGAGAACUGGCCCCGACUAAAGACCGAGGGCUGCCAUAAAAAGACACAAGCCUCGCUUAACAAACGCUGUUUAACUACACAUCGUUUCUUACAAUGGUUCGAUAUAAACGUUCCCGUAGCCCCGCGUUAUGACAAAACGGGGAUACGCUGUAUCUUUUUACUGCUGAAAUCCCAGCCUCGCAAACAUAAAUAUUUCCAAUUAGUGGCUCCGCUCUAAACUACGGUGAUUUAAGGCUACCUAAUUUAAUUUAAUUCCAUACACGUUUUCAUAUUUUUCCUGAGACAAUAGUGAAAAUACGAGUUAAAUUUAUAGGAAAGCAAUAAAGAAGUAAAGCCAGAGGUUUCUUCAGCCCUCAUUUAGCGUUUGCAAAGGUUUAUUUUGAGACUGCGGCCAUGAAAAGGUUCUUUUUCAAAAUCGUUUGUCUGAAACGAGCAAUGAAUGUAAGUGGGAGAGUCAUAUUAAGGACUGGAGAUUUCCUUCAAAAUGAUUCAUGUUCGUGGCUGCGUAAUUCCGAAUUAAGGUAGUAAUUUAAGCGCUAUAAAGCACGAGCACCAGAAUAUAUAUAAUUUUAACGUGGGUGCGUUUGAAUUGUGUUUUCAAUUCCUUCAUGCAGUUCCUCAGCAUUUUCACCCGUCUGGAAAGCCGAUCGGUCGGCUGCGCGUUUAUUUCCGUACGCUGAUUUUAUUUACCCUUCAGCAGCAGGCGAGCGAUUGUUUCUUUCCGCAGUUUUAAAACGAGAC
ensembl:lncRNA